rnacentral:rRNA from 1 species
GCAACUGUUUACCAAAAACACAGGUUUGUGCUAAAUCGAAAGAUGACGUAUACGAGCUGACGCCUGCCCGGUGCUGGAAGGUUAAGAGGAGAUGUGCAAGCAUUGAAUCGAAGCCCCAGUGAACGGCGGCCGUAACUAUAACGGUCCUAAGGUAGCGAAAUUCCUUGUCAGGUAAGUUCUGACCCGCAUGAAAGGCGUAAUGAUUUGGGCACUGUCUCAACAGCCCGCCCGGCGAAAUUGUAGUACCGGUGAAGAUGCCGGUUACCCGCGACAAGACGGAAAGACCCCAUGGAGCUUUACUGUAGCCUAAUAUUGGGUUUCGAUGUUGCAUGCACAGGAUAGAUGGGACUCUGGGAAGUGAUCGCUUUGGCGGUCAUGGAGAGGACGUUGGGAUACCAUCCUUGCGAUAUUGGAAUUCUAACCUGCGGCUCUGAAUCGAGUCGGGGGACAUUGUUAGGUGGGCAGUUUGACUGGGGCGGUCGCCUCCUAAAGAGUAACGGAGGCGUUCAAAGGUUCGCUCAGCUUGAACGGAAAUCAAGCAAAAGAGUGCAAACGCAGAAGCGAGCCUAACUGCGAGACUGACGGGUCGAGCAGUAACGAAAGUUGGAGUUAGUGAUCCGGUGGUAUGUGAGUGGAAAUGCCAUCGCUCAACGGAUAAAAGUUACCCUGGGGAUAACAGGCUGAUCUCCCCCAAGAGUCCACAUCGACGGGGAGGUUUGGCACCUCGAUGUCGGCUCAUCGCAUCCUGGGGCUGUAGUCGGUCCCAAGGGUUGGGCUGUUCGCCCAUUAAAGCGGUACGCGAGCUGGGUUCAGAACGUCGUGAGACAGUUCGGUCCCUAUCUGUCGUGGGCGCAGGAUAUUUGAUGGGAGCUGUCCCUAGUACGAGAGGACCGGGACGGACGUACCUCUGGCGCACCAGUUGUUCCGCCAGGAGCAUAGCUGGGCAACUACGUACGGAUCGGAUAAACGCUGAAAGCAUCUAAGCGUGAAGCCGACCCAAAGAUAAGAUAUCCCACUGAUUUGAUCAGGUAAGAUCCCUUGAAGACUACAAGGUUGAUAGGCACGAUGUGUAAGUGGAGCGAUCCAUUCAGCAAGUGUGUACUAAUAGAUCGAGGGCUUGACCAC